rnacentral:rRNA from 1 species
UUGGGAAGAAUGGAUUUACGGACUACGUCUAAUAUAGUUCUGGAUAUAAGACUGAUUAAUGACAAUUUUAUAUCAAAAGUCUUGACCAAAUUACGUGCCAGCAGUCGCGGUAAUACGUAGAAGACAAGUGUUAGUCAUCUUUAAUAGGUUUAAAGGGUACCUAGACGGCAUUAUUAACCCGAAACGGAAAUAGUUUUGCUAGAGUUUUAUAUGAGAAGGGGAGUAUUUAGGGAGUAGAGAUGAAAUUCUUUGAUACCUUAAGGACUGGUUAGGGCGAAAGCGGCCUUUUAUGUAAAAACUGACGUUGAGGGACGGAGGCUUAGAUAGCGAACAGGAUUAGAUACCCUAGUAGUCUUUGCAGAGAAUGAUGAAUGCCAUAGAUUAGAUUUUGUUUGGUUUAUAAAUGAAAGUGUAAGCAUUCCACCUCAUGAGUAAUGUGGCAACGCAGGAACUGAAAUCAUUAGACCGUUUCUGAGAACAGUAGUGAAGUAUGUUAUUUAAUUCGAUGGCCCUCGAAAAACCUUACCACAACUUGAAUAUAAGCUAUGCAACCCUCCUAGAGUAGCCUUGAUUAGGCGUGAUCUCUAGGAACUAACUGAUUUAGUGUGAGUAUGUAUUGGAAUCUUUAAAGUUUCCAUUACAGACUACGUAGAGGAAAUCUAGACGGAUUGCGUAGAUUUCAUAGGAAUAGUAUUGCAUUUUCUUCGAUCUUCGAAGACGAUAUAGUAUUAGACCUAUACGGUGUUAAAACAAGUGUUGCACGGUUGUCUUCAGCUAAUGUCGUGAGACUGUGGUUAGCUCCAUUAAAUUAGCGGAAACCCCGGCUUUAUUUUUUAAUUUUUUAUCAUAAAGCAGUUCAUCAUUAUAUAGAAUAAUCGUGAUAA